rnacentral:rRNA from 1 species
UGGGGAAUAUUGCACAAUGGGCGGAAGCCUGAUGCAGCGACGCCGCGUGGGGGAUGAAGGCCUUCGGGUUGUAAACUCCUUUCGACAGGGACGAAGCGUAAGUGACGGUACCUGUAUAAGAAGCACCGGCUAACUACGUGCCAGCAGCCGCGGUAAUACGUAGGGUGCGAGCGUUGUCCGGAAUUACUGGGCGUAAAGAGCUCGUAGGUGGUUUGUCGCGUCGUCCGUGAAAUUCCGGGGCUUAACUCCGGGCGUGCAGGCGAUACGGGCUGACUUGAGUGCUGUAGGGGAGACUGGAAUUCCUGGUGUAGCGGUGAAAUGCGCAGAUAUCAGGAGGAACACCGAUGGCGAAGGCAGGUCUCUGGGCAGUAACUGACGCUGAGGAGCGAAAGCAUGGGUAGCGAACAGGAUUAGAUACCCUGGUAGUCCAUGCCGUAAACGGUGGGCGCUAGGUGUAGGGGGCUUCCACGUCUUCUGUGCCGUAGCUAACGCAUUAAGCGCCCCGCCUGGGGAGUACGGCCGCAAGGCUA